ACCAAAACUCCCAAAAUCAAUCCCAACCUUCCUUUUGUGGUCAUAAACCUUGUGUUUUAAUUUCAUAGAUUUCUAUUUACUUAAACUAAAGUUAUAGUGCGCAAACCAAUGUGUCUUCGGAUGACAAUGACGACGCCAACGUCAUACCAAUAUAUGUUCGCAAAAUUUUUUUGUUGUCGUAUAAAAAGGAUGAAAAAAGCUAAUCAAUGGUUGAUAUUUGUCAUGUUUAUUCUUUCUCAUAAAUCAAUGAGACGGUUUUCUUGUUGGCCCUUUGUUUAAAUUAUUUCACAUUUUGUCAUGUCAGGGUCUUUUAUAGCUUACUAUAAACCAAUACUGUAAAUUAGGAAAUUAUUGCAUGGAUUUAUUUGUGUCAUUUUUAUUGAUUGAAUAAAUAAUUAUAUGCAAGAUUAAUUAUUGUGAAUUUAGGAAAAUCUGCAUCAGCUAUAAGAAGAUGAGUUCUUUUAUUGUAAUAUUCUACCAGUUGCA
rnacentral:lncRNA from 1 species